UACGUAGGGGGGCAAGCGUUGUCCGGAAUCAUUGGGCGUAAAGCGCGUGUAGGCGGCUUGGUAAGUCCGCUCUGAAAGCCCGGGGCUCAACCCCGGGAGGCGGGUGGAUACUGUCAAGCUCGAGUCCGGAAGAGGCAAGUGGAAUUCCCGGUGUAGCGGUGAAAUGCGCAGAUAUCGGGAGGAACACCAAUGGCGAAGGCAGCUCGCUGGGACGUGACUGACGCUGAGACGCGAAAGCGUGGGGAGCAAACAGG
rnacentral:rRNA from 1 species